AACGCGAAGAACCUUACCUGGGUUUGACAUGGAUCGGGAGCGCUCAGAGAUGGGUGUGCCUCUUUUGGGGUCGGUUCACAGGUGGUGCAUGGCUGUCGUCAGCUCGUGUCGUGAGAUGUUGGGUUAAGUCCCGCAACGAGCGCAACCCUUGUUCACUGUUGCCAGCACGUUAUGGUGGGGACUCAGUGGAGACCGCCGGGGUCAACUCGGAGGAAGGUGGGGAUGACGUCAAGUCAUCAUGCCCCUUAUGUCCAGGGCUUCACGCAUGCUACAAUGGCUGGUACAGAGAGUGGCGAGCCUGUGAGGGUGAGCGAAUCUUGGAAAGCCGGUCUCAGUUCGGAUUGGGGUCUGCAACUCGACCUCAUGAAGUCGGAGUCGCUAGUAAUCGCAGAUCAGCACGC
rnacentral:rRNA from 1 species